GGGGGGGGGGGGGGGGGGGGGGGGGGGGGGGGGGGGGGAGGGAGAGGGGCUGGGUUUGGGGGGUGGUCGGGUGGCGAGCGGGGGGGGGGCGCGUGAGUGACCUGCCGUUGACUUUGGGAUAACUUCGGGAAGCUGGGGCUACUACCGGAUAGGAGCUCCGUCUGCAUGGUGGGUGUUGUAAGUGUUCGGCGGUUGGGGAUGGAUUCGCGUGUUAUCAGCUUGUUGGUGGGGUAGUGGCUUACUAAGGCGUUGACGGGUAGCCGGCCUGCGAGGGUGACCGGCCACAGUGGGACUGAGAUACGGCCCAGACUCCUACGGGAGGCAGCAGUGGGGAAUAUUGCACAAUGGGCGGAAGCCUGAUGCAGCAACGCCGCGUGCGGGAUGACGGCCUUCGGGUUGUAAACCGCUUUCGCCUGGGACGAAGCGUGAGUGACGGUAAUGGGUAAAGAAGCACCGGCUAACUACAUG
rnacentral:rRNA from 1 species